GGGCACCUGCCCGGGCACCGGCCCCGUGGCCGUCAACGGCCCCAUCACCGUCGCCACACCGGAGGCUGCACCGGCACCACCGCCGUCACUGUCAUCUCGUCGCCGGCACCGGCGGCGGGCGGCGUCGCUUUCAAAAGCACCGGCCUCGGCUCCGACACCGGCACCCGGCUCGGCGCCGAUACGUUCAGCGUCUACCGCACGGCAGAAACGAUGCUGCGCUCCGUGACGGUGCUGGGGCCGUCCCAGUGUCUUUGACAGUGGCCUCCCAGCGGUGAAGAAGGGAAGUGCCUGCAGUCGCAGUAGAAGCUGCGUUCCGGCCAAAUCGCGUUGGACGUCGUGAGGCCGUCAGACGGCUUGUGACCGAAGAGCGACCGCCCGGUCGUCCAUAGGACGCUGGCAGCACGGGAGAAAUGUCGGGACUGCAGGUCGGGCAAGGAGCAGCCUAUGGCGGCAGAAGCGAGCCUGAAGUCGUCAGGAGGGCAAGGUUAGGUUUGGUGACUGCCUGACAGGCGCUCACCAAGGCGGUGGCGGAGCCGACACCUGUAGAGAUACCUGCAAAGGUGAAGGUACCUGAGGAAGGAGACUGCCAUGGGUGACGGUCAGAGGGACAGCCACCCUACUGACCAGGACAGAUCGAAUGGAUUCAAGGCAGUUACUAUCUGUACUCUUCCAACCUGGUCACGGAACCAUGGUUAUGGUUUCUCUGUGUUGCCCUGACUGUUCUGAAACUUGCUCUGUAGACCAGGCUGACCUAGAUCUCACAGAGACCUGCCUGUCGCUGAGACAUGUGCCAUCACCACCCUGCCAUAACUUUUUUUUGCCUAAUGGACUCAGAAUUCAUGGUUCUUUAUACGUUCAAUUAACCUUCAUCUACGUGUUGCUCUUGGAUUCAUGAAGUGAGGGAGAGUUGGAGGGUUAGAUGGUCCUGGAUGUGAAAGAAGGGUCUGGGAUAAUGGUGGGUCCCCUACACUGACAUAUGGAGGCACUGCUGUUCUUCCAGGAUACCUCAGUUCAAUUCCCAGCAAGCACAUGAGAACUGAGAGAUGCCCCACGAUACGGGAUCUUGCCUCAAGAUAUUUGCCUUUACCGCGGAUGAUGUCUCCUGAACUGCUGUGCUGACCUGAAAUUCAAGAUAGUCGCACUUUGAAGAAAAUGACCCUUUCUAGGACUUUAAUGUGCUGGUGUGUGAAGUUAAACUCAAAAUCCAAAGAAAACAACUUGAAUCAACACAAUGAAAGUUCCCUUGUUUACAGAUUGAAAUGGAGAGUUGACUCUUUUUGUCUGUCAGGAGUGAAGGCAAGCCUGAUCCUCAUCUAACUUUGAUGUCAUUUAUGGUCUUUGUGGUUUUUGCCCUUAAAAACUCUGUAUAUGUGAGGUUUUUUUUUCCAGAAGCACAAGACUGUGUUUGGUCUGUCUAUCAAUAAGAAGGACAUAAAGCUAUUAACUGGUUAAAUCAGUGUGGUUGUCAAAAACUACCUCUAGUGGAUCAUUUCAUGCCAAUCCUUAAAGAAAUAUCCAGCCUGCACAAAACAUGUUGAUCAUCUGGGUACCUUGCCAAUCUAUUUAAUGCAGAGUCAGUCUGUCUCAUGAAGAGUUGGCCAUUUACAUACAAGUCCAACCUCCUCAUUGAAGUAGAUUCUUUCCCUAAAAACCCAGCUGUUGCUUCACCACUGCAGCUCAUCAACGAGGCUGUAAAGACCUGAGCAAGAGCAUUACUAGGCUUGCGGCUCUGGCACUGGAAGAGGGAAAGCUCAGAAGGCCUCAGCACAAGAUAAAAAAAAAUUGGGCGGCCCUGCCCUAUAUCAAAUGACAGACUAUGGACACCCCCAUGGAGGGCCUCACCCUCCCUGGGGAAAUGAGGGGAUA